GGCGGAGCUGCCUAAGCGUAAGGUAAACCUCUUUAGGAACAGCAACAACCUACAGAGACAGAACAAACAACGAAACAGACGUGUGAUGAUAGAGAAGGUUGAAGAAGACUAAAAAGGAUGAAUAAGAACUAUUAGAUGAUGAACAACAAUGGACCCAGCACCGAUCCCUGUGGCACACCACCAGACACAGGCCUCCAGUCAGAGAGGCAACCAUCUUCUACCACUCUCUGGCUUCUCCUGCUAAGCCAAUGUUGAAUCCGAUUGACUACUUCAUCCUGAAUGCCAAGCGACUUAACCUUCUGGACUAGCCUCCCAUGCGGGACUUUGUCAAAGGCCUUGCUAAAGUCCAUGUCGACAACGUCCACUACCUUUCCCUCAUCAACUUUCUUGGUAACCUCCUCGAAGAACUCUAUAAGAUUGGUUAGACAUGGCCUACCACGCACAAAGCCAUGGUGACUGUCCCUAAUCAGGCCCUGUCUAUUCAAAUACUUAUAUAUCCUGCCCCUUAGAAUACCUUCCAAUAACUUAGCCACAACUGACAUCAGGCUCACCAGCCUAUAAUUUCCCAACUUAUUCUUAGAGCCUUUCUUGAAACAACAGAACAAAAUUAGGUAUCCUCCAGUCCUCCGGCACCUCACCCAUGGCUAAGGACAUUUUAAAUAUCUCUGCUAGGGCCCCUGCAAUUUCUGCACUUGCCUCCUUGUCAGGGGACACUUUGUCAGGCCCUGGGGAUUUAUCCACCUUAAUUUGCCUCAAAACAGCCAGCACCUCCUCCUCCGUAAUCUGGAUCUGGUCCAUGAUCUCACUACUCUUUUGCCUUAGUUCUAUUGUUUCUGUGUCUGUCUCCAGAGUAAAUACGUAUGCAAAAAAUUCAUUUAAGAUCUCCCCUAUCUCUUUCAGCUGCACGCAUAGAUGACCAUGCUGAUUUUCAGGAGGACCAAUUUUGUCCCUUGCUACUCUUGCUCUUAAUAUAGCUAUAGAAACCCUUGGGAUUCUCUUUCACCUUGUCUGCCAGAGCAAUCUCAUGUCCUCUUUUGCCCUCCUGAUUCUCUCUUAAGUGUUCUCUUGCAUUUCUUAUACUCCUCAAGCACCUCAUUUGAUCCUAACUUCUAUACCUGAUAUGCACCUCCUUUUUCUUUACCAGGGCCUCAAUAUCCCUCAAUAACCACGGUUCCCUGAACCUGUUAGCCUUGUCUUUUAUCCUAACAGGAAUGUACAGAUUCUGUACUCACAGUAUUUC